rnacentral:rRNA from 1 species
GACAGAGGGUGCAAACGUUGUUCGGAAUUACUGGGCGUAAAGCGUGUGUAGGCGGUCCGCUAAGUCGGGUGUGAAAGCCCUGGGCUCAACCCAGGAAGUGCACUCGAAACUGGCGGGCUAGAGUAUCGGAGAGGUUGGUGGAAUUCUCGGUGUAGAGGUGAAAUUCGUAGAUAUUGGGAAGAACACCGGUGGCGAAGGCGGCGCUCUGGACCGAGACUGACGCUGAGGCGCGAAAGCGUGGGGAGCAAACAGG